AUACGGAGGGAGCAAGCGUUAUUCGGAAUCACUGGGCGUAAAGGACGCGUAGGCGGGUUUGUAAGUCAGGUGUGAAAUCCUACAGCUCAACUGUAGAACUGCACUUGAAACUACAGACCUAGAGUAUGGAAGGGGCAGAUGGAAUUAGUGGUGUAGGGGUAAAAUCCGUAGAUAUCACUAGGAAUACCGAAAGCGAAGGCGAUCUGCUGGGACAUUACUGACGCUGAGGCAUGAAAGCGUGGGGAGCAAACAGGAUUAGAAACCCUAGUAGUCC
rnacentral:rRNA from 1 species